rnacentral:rRNA from 1 species
GUGGGGAAUUUUGGACAAUGGGCGCAAGCCUGAUCCAGCAAUGCCGCGUGCAGGAAGAAGGCCUUCGGGUUGUAAACUGCUUUUGUACGGAACGAAACGGUUCUCUCUAAUACAAGGGGCUAAUGACGGUACCGUAAGAAUAAGCACCGGCUAACUACGUGCCAGCAGCCGCGGUAAUACGUAGGGUGCGAGCGUUAAUCGGAAUUACUGGGCGUAAAGCGUGCGCAGGCGGUGAUGUAAGACAGUUGUGAAAUCCCCGGGCUCAACCUGGGAACUGCAUCUGUGACUGCAUUGCUGGAGUGCGGCAGAGGGGGAUGGAAUUCCGCGUGUAGCAGUGAAAUGCGUAGAUAUGCGGAGGAACACCGAUGGCGAAGGCAAUCCCCUGGGCCUGCACUGACGCUCAUGCACGAAAGCGUGGGGAGCAAACAGGAUUAGAAACCCUUGUAGUCC